UCGUUAACUAGGCUUCCCGAUCGCCCCUAUGAACAAUGUCAUAAAAUAACAUCUAAACUUCAGAAAAUCAACGGCAGAAUAACAGCACAGGAACACCAGCAUCAAAUCUAUUGAUUAUGACGAUUGUGAUCACCUUGCAAGAACACGCACUCCUCAAUUUAGGUCAAGUUGCCUCGGCAGCUGACUGAUUAAGCCAUUAGGUCACACUGCAAUAGGAAGAUCCGAGCACUCGGUUACGACACAGGUGCUAUAAACAGGGCUUAAAAGGACGGGCUAUGGAAGAAAGGCACGGUAAACAAGAGCCAAGACGAGUCAACGUGAAAACUAAACAAUUUGGAGUUCCAGAGGGACUAAUAAAAUCUCGGCCCAUUCCUUUGCCGCCGACAGGUAACACGGUACCGGAAAGGCCGAAGGCUCAAAAUCCGAAACCGCCGAAAAAUGUGAAAGCAUGAAAUUCGAUAAACCUUACUUUCUGCUUCAAGCCCAGAUCGCCACCUCAUUGGAUCUGAAGGGUUCAAUUUACAAUGUAUCCUAGGCCGCGCUGUACUGACUUUCGUCCGUUCUCGCUUAUAGCUGGAAUAUUGCUGAGUGCGCCGUUAAACAACAAACCAGCCAACCAAGCAACCAACCGUUCUCGCUUCGUCGCCGUGAAUAGCUGGAAACUUGCUGAUACGAUGUAAACAAUAUUCAAGCAUUCAUUCAUUCUCCCUUCUCUUCUGACAUCACAUGUCCCAUGCCACUGGACACUUCCAUCGAUCACACCAGCAAUAGCGUCGUCCCGUGGGAGUCUGCUACGAUUUCAAAGAUGGUCGGCAUUGCAACAAUAUUGAAAAAGACUAUUUGUGCCAUUUCACAAUGUGUGAUUGUGACGAGGUUCGGAUUGAGCCCCUAGUAUUGUUAUUACUUAUGUAUGUUAAAUGUUUAAUUCCUUUGGGUUUUUAGUCACCUUUCAGGAGAUAACUAAAUAACCACUUGGGCCUUUGUUGUAUAGAACACAUGUUCUUAAAGCGCAAACUCUGCACUCCAUCAUAGUGUAUUAUCAGUCGUGUUAUCCGUAGUCUGUUAACAAACACACACGCUGGCCGCUUGGAGUGAAAGAUUCCCGGAUCGGAAUUGUCCACUUUGACGUUCGAACGUGACCUAUAAAAGCUUACUUCUAAAUAUACUCGGAGUUCUCCGACGUUGAAGACCAGCUUGUCCUACCGUCGGGCCCCGACGUUAGAUCAGAGGCUGGAGUCGCUGUCCAUAGCUGAAGAUCAGAAGGUUUGAGCUGGCGUCAGGUGAAAAGAGUUUGGCUUUGUGGUAUCUGUAUAACUGUUACAUUUACUAAAUGUAAUACCCUCUGUGUAUUUGUAUUAGGGCACUUGUAUGUAAGUACUGACUUACCAUCAACGUUGCUAAACAUGUAUAUUCGCCUGUUGGACGUGUCUCACGCUGUGUGAGUUCAACUUGUAUCUGCUUACAUAAAGCCUUCAUGCUUUAGCUUGGUUUCAUUUUAAUGGUUAUGAAUCCCUAAACAGACAGACAGACAUAUAUUUUAUUUAGUGAUUUUGGCACCAAGGCCCAAAGUACAAUGCAGUUUGCAUAUUAACAUUUUCACGUGAUGUACAUGAUUAGAUUUUAAAGUUACACAUUUUUCAUUGUAAAGCAUGGAUCAUAUCAGGACUUUCUCCGAUUUACCGUUAUCUGACGGUCUUUGAAAAUACCCUGCACCAAGGGGAGAAAUGUAUAUCUUAAAUGGUUAUACUUUUCACAUAUAAGUAAAACAUUGUAUUCAUACUCUUUGUGCAAAUAGAAUUAAAAAUAUUACCGUCUUUGGA
rnacentral:lncRNA from 1 species